rnacentral:rRNA from 1 species
UACGAAGGGGGCUAGCGUUGCUCGGAAUUACUGGGCGUAAAGCGCACGUAGGCGGCUUUCUAAGUCGGGGGUGAAAUCCUGGAGCUCAACUCCAGAACUGCCUUCGAUACUGGAGAGCUUGAGUCCGGGAGAGGUGAGUGGAACUGCGAGUGUAGAGGUGAAAUGCGUAGAUAUCUGGAGGAACACCGGUGGCGAAGGCGGCAUCCUGGACCAACACUGACGCUGAGGAGCGAAAGCCAGGGGAGCAAACGGG